ensembl:lncRNA
CUAAGGUGUUGCUAGGCGGUUGCUAGGGUGUUCUGAGUGGUUGCUAGGUGGUUGCUAGGCAGUUGCUAAGGUACUUGGGGUGGUUGCUAAGGUGUUUCUAGGCGGUUGUUAGAGCGGUUGCUAGGGUACCCAAGGUGGUUGCUAGGUUAUUUCGGGUGGUUGCUAGGGUCCCCAGGAUGGUUGCUAGGGCCGUUGCUAGGGUACCAAGGAUGGUUGCUAGGUCACUUGGGGUGGUUGCUAAGGUGUUGCUAGGCGGUUGCUAGGGUGUUCUGAGUGGUUGCUAGGUGGUUGCUAGGCAGUUGCUAAGGUACUUGGGGUGGUUGCUAAGGUGUUGGUAGGCGGUUGCUAGGGUGUUCUGGGUGGUUGCUAG